GGCUGAGUGCGGGCGGGCAGGCGCGUGAAGAGGGAGGGGGCAGGUGUGGGACGGAAUGAUGGGGCGUAAAGCGCGUGUGGGCUGCUCGUGAAGUCCGCUCUGACAGGCCGGGGCUCAACGCUGGGAUGCGGGUGGAUACUGCCGGGCUCGAGUCCGGAAGAGGCGAGUGGAAUUCCCGGUGUAGCGGUGAAAUGCGCAGAUAUCGGGAGGAACACCAAUGGCGAAGGCAGCUCGCUGGGACGUGACUGACGCUGAGACGCGAAAGCGUGGGGAGCAAACAGGAUUAGAUACCCGGGAGUC
rnacentral:rRNA from 1 species